rnacentral:lncRNA from 1 species
UGGAUUUUCAACAGCAGGGAUCGACUGGAAUCCCCAUGUAAUAGGUGUGAAUCCUUCUGGUCGCCAUCUGAGCCUGGAGCUAAGGCUGUUCCACAGCCCUCUCUACACAGGUUCCGCCAGAGAGAGCUGGUCUCCCAGGAGUGCUGACAGGGCUUGCAGGCCCACAGGAGGGACAAGCUCCAGCCAGAGACAGAAAGACCAACACCAGAAAUAACCAGAUGGCAAAAGGCAAGCGCAAGAACCUUACCAACAGAAACCAAGGCUACUUGGCAUCAGACCCCAGUUCUCCCAUCACAGCAAGUCCUGGAUACCUCAACACACCGGAAAAGCAAGAUAUGGAUUUAAAAAUCACAUCUCAUUAUGCUGAUAGAGGAUUUUAAGAAGGACAUAAAUAACUCCCUUAAAGAAGUACAGGAGAACACAAGUAAACAAAUAGAAGCUUUAAAGAGGAAACAAAAAUCCCUUAAAGAAUUUCAGGAAAACACAACUGAACAGAUGAAGGAAUUAAACAAAACCAUCCAGGAUCUAAAAAUGGAAGUAGAAACAAAAAGAAAUCACAAAGGGAGACAUCUCCCCGGAUUUUAAUGGAACAGCUCUCUUAGACAAUCUUAGUUUAAUUUGCACUGGUUAGAGUCUACUGUCUGGUCUCCUUGGUUUCUCUAGUCCAGAGGAUGGGCAACCCACACGGAGAUACAAGACCAUUUGAAAGAUGCCUGAUUGAAAGAUUGGAUUGAGCUGCCGAUUCCUGUGAGCUGUACUGCUGAUGUCCUGACAAUGCAGAUUGGAUUUGCUCCAAAGAACUAUUUCUAAACAGGUUCUUCUUUGCCCUAUUAAUCUUUCCUUCCCACUACCUCUGGUGUGGUGGGCUAGAAGGGACAUUAAAACAUUUAAGAACAACAACCCUCGAACUGUGAGGCUGUCAGCUUCAGACAAGAGAGACUAUUUACUUAAAUGGCCAAUUUUUGUUUAAAAUGGCCACUCAAAUUAAAAGGAAAAGUGAGGAUCUGGAGAGAGGCUCAGCAGUUAAGAACACUGACUGAUCUUCCAGAGGACCAGAGAUCAAUUCUUAGCAGCCACAUGGCGGCUCACAACCAUCUG